rnacentral:rRNA from 1 species
UACGUAGGGUGCAAGCGUUGUCCGGAAUUAUUGGGCGUAAAGAGCUCGUAGGCGGUUUGUUGCGUCGGCUGUGAAAUCCCGAGGCUCAACCUCGGGUCUGCAGUCGAUACGAGCAAACUAGAGUGUUGCAGGGGAGACUGGAAUUCCUGGUGUAGCGGUGAAAUGCGCAGAUAUCAGGAGGAACACCGGUGGCGAAGGCGGGAUCUCUGGGCCUUACCUGACGCUCGAGGUGCGAAAGCUAGGGGAGCGAACAGG